ensembl:miRNA
ACCUUGGCUCUAGACUGCUUACUGCUUAUGGAGUCCGACAGUACAGUAACAGUCUACAGUCAUGGCUACUGAAGUCUGGC